AGAUUGAACGCUGGCGGCAUGCCUUACACAUGCAAGUCGAACGGUAGAGUAGCAAUACUCGAGAGUGGCGAACGGGUGAGUAAUAUAUCGGAACGUGCCCAGUCGUGGGGGAUAACGUAGAGAAAUUUACGCUAAUACCGCAUACGAUCUACGGAUGAAAGCGGGGGACUCGCAAGAGCCUCGCGCGAUUGGAGCGGCUGAUAUCAGAUUAGGUUGUUGGUGAGGUAAAGCUCACCAAGCCGACGAUCUGUAGCUGGUUUGAGAGAACGACCAGCCACACGUGGGACUGAGACACCGGCCCAGACCUCCGUACGGGAGGCAGCGAGGUGGGUAAUUUUGGACAAGUGGGACGAAAGCCUAGACUCCGAGCAAGUCGCCGGCGUGACGAAGGG
rnacentral:rRNA from 1 species